rnacentral:rRNA from 1 species
UACGGAGGAGGCAAGCGUUAUCCGGAAUUAUUGGGCGUAAAGCGUACGCAGGCGGCUUUGCAAGACAGGUGUGAAAUCCCCGGGCCUAACCUGGGAACUGCAUUUGUGACUGCAUGGCUAGAGUUUGUCAGAGGGGGGUGGAAUUCCACGUGUAGCAGUGAAAUGCGUAGAUAUGUGGAGGAACACCGAUGGCGAAGGCAGCCCCCUGGGAUGUGACUGACGCUCAUGUACGAAAGCGUGGGGAGCAAACAGG